GAUUUAUAUAUCCAUGUAUGAACUAUGUAACGUUGGCGAACUGACAUAAGAACGUGAGGAAACGUUGGCGAAUCGACCCGAGACGUUGGCGAACUGACAGUUGGCGAAACGACUCGUUGGCGAAACGACCGCAAUUCUAUAAAUGUAUAUUAUACCUCACAAUGAGCUUGUCCAAUCAGAGAACUAAAUUUGUACCACAUGACCAUGGUAUUUUUCAGCGAAUACUAUGACCUAGGCAAUUUGAACCCUGGGUGUUUUACCCAGGGCCAUGGUAUUCGACUUCGAAUACCACGCUUGAGC